rnacentral:rRNA from 1 species
GCGGCAGGCCUAACACAUGCAAGUCGAACGGUAACAGGAAUCAGCUUGCUGAUUCGCUGACGAGUGGCGGACGGGUGAGUAAUGUCUGGGAAACUGCCUGAUGGAGGGGGAUAACUACUGGAAACGGUAGCUAAUACCGCAUAACGUCGCAAGACCAAAGAGGGGGACCUUCGGGCCUCUUGCCAUCGGAUGUGCCCAGAUGGGAUUAGCUAGUAGGUGGGGUAAAGGCUCACCUAGGCGACGAUCCCUAGCUGGUCUGAGAGGAUGACCAGCCACACUGGAACUGAGACACGGUCCAGACUCCUACGGGAGGCAGCAGUGGGGAAUAUUGCACAAUGGGCGCAAGCCUGAUGCAGCCAUGCCGCGUGUAUGAAGAAGGCCUUCGGGUUGUAAAGUACUUUCAGCGGGGAGGAAGGGAGUAAAGUUAAUACCUUUGCUCAUUGACGUUACCCGCAGAAGAAGCACCGGCUAACUCCGUGCCAGCAGCCGCGGUAAUACGGAGGGUGCAAGCGUUAAUCGGAAUUACUGGGCGUAAAGCGCACGCAGGCGGUUUGUUAAGUCAGAUGUGAAAUCCCCGGGCUCAACCUGGGAACUGCAUCUGAUACUGGCAAGCUUGAGUCUCGUAGAGGGGGGUAGAAUUCCAGGUGUAGCGGUGAAAUGCGUAGAGAUCUGGAGGAAUACCCGGUGGCGAAGGCGGCCCCCUGGACGAAGACUGACGCUCAGGUGCGAAAGCGUGGGGAGCAAACAGGAUUAGAUACCCUGGUAGUCCACGCCGUAAACGAUGUCGACUUGGAGGUUGUGCCCUUGAGGCGUGGCUUCCGGAGCUAACGCGUUAAGUCGACCGCCUGGGGAGUACGGCCGCAAGGUUAAAACUCAAAUGAAUUGACGGGGGCCCGCACAAGCGGUGGAGCAUGUGGUUUAAUUCGAUGCAACGCGAAGAACCUUACCUGGUCUUGACAUCCACAGAACUUUCCAGAGAUGGAUUGGUGCCUUCGGGAACUGUGAGACAGGUGCUGCAUGGCUGUCGUCAGCUCGUGUUGUGAAAUGUUGGGUUAAGUCCCGCAACGAGCGCAACCCUUAUCCUUUGUUGCCAGCGGUCCGGCCGGGAACUCAAAGGAGACUGCCAGUGAUAAACUGGAGGAAGGUGGGGAUAACGUCAAGUCAUCAUGGCCCUUACGACCAGGGCUACACACGUGCUACAAUGGCGCAUACAAAGAGAAGCGACCUCGCGAGAGCAAGCGGACCUCAUAAAGUGCGUCGUAGUCCGGAUUGGAGUCUGCAACUCGACUCCAUGAAGUCGGAAUCGCUAGUAAUCGUGGAUCAGAAUGCCACGGUGAAUACGUUCCCGGGCCUUGUACACACCGCCCGUCACACCAUGGGAGUGGGUUGCAAAAGAAGUAGGUAGCUUAACCUUCGGGAGGGCGCUUACCACUUUGUGAUUCAUG